UGGGGAAUAUUGCACAAUGGAGGGAACUCUGAUGCAGCGACGCCGCGUGAACGAAGAAGGCUUUCGAGUCGUAAAGUUCUUUUAUAUGGGAAGAUAAUGACGGUACCAUAAGAAAAAGCCCCGGCUAACUACGUGCCAGCAGCCGCGGUAAUACGUAGGGGGCUAGCGUUGUCCGGAAUCACUGGGCGUAAAGGGUUCGCAGGCGGAAAUGCAAGUCAGGUGUAAAAGGCAGUAGCUUAACUACUGUAAGCAUUUGAAACUGCAUAUCUUGAGAAGAGUAGAGGUAAGUGGAAUUUUUAGUGUAGCGGUGUAAUGCGUAGAUAUUAAAAAGAAUACCGGUGGCGAAGGCGACUUACUGGGCUCAUUCUGACGCUGAGGAACGAAAGCGUGGGUAGCAAACAGG
rnacentral:rRNA from 1 species